rnacentral:rRNA from 1 species
AGGUGGAGCUUAUCCUCAAAACCCAUUUCAGUUUGGAAUGCACUCUGCAACUCGAGUGCCUGAAGUCGGAAUCGCUAGUAAUAAAGGAUCAGCAUGCCGCGGAGAAUACGUUGUAGGGCGUGGUACACACCGCCAGUCACACCAUGGGAGUUGGUUUUGCCUGAAGACGGUGUGCUAACCGCAAGGAGGCAGCCGGCCACGGUAGGGUCAGCGACAGGGGGGAAGUCGUAACAAGGUAACCAAUCG